rfam:Dyadobacter psychrophilus strain DSM 22270 genome assembly, contig: LX75DRAFT_scaffold00006.6
GCAGGGGUACGCCGAAAACCUGAAAUAGAGUAGGCA